AGAGUUUGAUCAUGGCUCAGAUUGAACGCUGGCGGCAUGCCUUACACAUGCAAGUCGAACGGCAGCGCGGGGGCAACCCUGGCGGCGAGUGGCGAACGGGUGAGUAAUACAUCGGAACGUGUCCUGGAGUGGGGGAUAGCCCGGCGAAAGCCGGAUUAAUACCGCAUACGAUCCUGGGAUGAAAGCGGGGGACCGAAAGGCCUCGCGCUCAAGGGGCGGCCGAUGGCAGAUUAGCUAGUUGGUGGGGUAAAGGCCUACCAAGGCGACGAUCUGUAGCUGGUCUGAGAGGACGACCAGCCACACUGGGACUGAGACACGGCCCAGACUCCUACGGGAGGCAGCAGUGGGGAAUUUUGGACAAUGGGGGCAACCCUGAUCCAGCAAUGCCGCGUGUGUGAAGAAGGCCUUCGGGUUGUAAAGCACUUUUGUCCGGAAAGAAAACUUCCGCCCUAAUACGGUGGGGGGAUGACGGUACCGGAAGAAUAAGCACCGGCUAACUACGUGCCAGCAGCCGCGGUAAUACGUAGGGUGCAAGCGUUAAUCGGAAUUACUGGGCGUAAAGCGUGCGCAGGCGGUUCGCUAAGACCGAUGUGAAAUCCCCGGGCUUAACCUGGGAACUGCAUUGGUGACUGGCGGGCUAGAGUAUGGCAGAGGGGGGGUAGAAUUCCACGUGUAGCAGUGAAAUGCGUAGAGAUGUGGAGGAAUACCGAUGGCGAAGGCAGCCCCCUGGGCCAAUACUGACGCUCAUGCACGAAAGCGUGGGGAGCAAACAGGAUUAGAUACCCUAGUAGUCC
rnacentral:rRNA from 1 species